GUAGUUUGUAAUUGAAUAAAUGAGGUAUGCCACUUUCUUUUCCUGUUGCAUUUUCAAAGAAAACCUGUGGAUGCUCCUGGAUGACUUUUAUGUAUUUGGGAAAGAGAUAAUGACAAACAUGAGUCUAGGACUUGAAGUCGCCUGUGCUUUCCUCCUUAAAGUAAGUUCGGUACGUACGAAGGAGUUCUGUCCUACUUGUGUUUGUUUGUAAGUCCAACAAAGUUAGCCUAGAUACUAACACAAUUGGCUAUAUCGUAUGAUUCAGUAAUAGGUUUAUAAUACUUUUCACACAAAUAACACAUUAAAACAAACACACAAAAAUAAAUAAAA
rnacentral:lncRNA from 1 species